AUUGAACGCUGGCGGAAUGCUUUACACAUGCAAGUCGAACGGCAGCACGGACUUCGGUCUGGUGGCGAGUGGCGAACGGGUGAGUAAUGUAUCGGAACGUGCCCAGUCGUGGGGGAUAACGUAGUGAAAAUUACGCUAAUACCGCAUACGAACUAUGGAUGAAAGCGGGGGAUCGCAAGACCUCGCGCGAUGGGAGCGGCCGAUAUCAGAUUAGGUAGUUGGUGGGGUAAAGGCCCACCAAGCCAACGAUCUGUAGCUGGUCUGAGAGGACGACCAGCCACACUGGAACUGAGACACGGUCCAGACUCCUACGGGAGGCAGCAGUGGGGAAUUUUGGACAAUGAGCGAAAGCCUGAUCCAGCCAUUCCGCGUGCAGGAUGAAGGCCCUCGGGUUGUAAACUGCUUUUGUACAGAACGAAAAGGUUUCUACUAAUACUAGGAGCUCAUGACGGUACUGUAAGAAUAAGCACCGGCUAACUACGUGCCAGCCGCCGCGGUAA
rnacentral:rRNA from 1 species